UGAGAGCAAGCUUGGACCCCCUGUGCCUCCCCUCAAAAGGAAGAGGCUACGUCAUUAAUAAAUAUAUAGAUUUUUUUGCGAUAAUUUGACCCUAACGAGAGAUGCGGAACCAAACUUUGGCUCAAGUUUCCAGUUGGAUCCUAUAGAGCGAUACACCGCCAGUGGCAGGCUGAAGCGGAUUUCUAACCGCUUGCUCGGAGCGAUAGAAAACGCAGCCAGACCACAGAGGAGAAUUAACGAUAUCAGCAAGACCAGGGAGGACCCGCCAAUGCAGCCAAACCUAAAAAUCUUUCCACGGACCUUGACGGGGGACCGUAGGAGAAGUUUUAAGGCGGCGUGUCAAUCAGUAUCUGCAUAUUGUUAUGCUUGCAGACAUUUUAGCCAACCUAAAACCACAGACACUGUAUUUGAUGCACCAUCUGGAUACAAGAAGUGGAAGAAGGCAAUAUACAGUUUUUCAAUCCAUGUCAAGUCUGAGAGGCACAAACAAGCAUGGAGGGACUAUCAAACAAGUGUAACUACUAAUGCAACACUGGCAAAUGCCCUGAACAAGGACAAUAGGAGAAUUGCUACUACUUACUGCCACUCAGAACAUUGCUCAAAGAGGACACAAUGAGUCUGCUGCCUCAGAUAAUGAAGGCAACUUUAUGGCAAUUCUAGAAACAAUUGCUAACCAUGACAACACUGUGAAGUAAAGGUUGACAUCUAUUCAUAAAAUAAGGUACACAAGUAAAAUCAUUCAGAAUGAGAUUCUGGAUUGCCUGGCAGACAUGGUUCAACAUGAAAUUACAGAAGAAGUAAAAAGCAGUGGAGUCUUUAGCAUCAUAGCAGAUGAAACAAAAGAUGUAAAAGAAAAAAAAGGAGCACAUUUCAAUAGUACUCAGAUACUAUUACAAUGGAGCAAUUAAUGAAAGUUUUCUCCAUUUUGAAUCUGCUGAGAGGCUAGAUGCAGACGGGCUUAGUGAGAAAAUAAUCCACAUAUUGGAGUCAUGGUCUAGAAUACAAAAACAAUCUUGAUGGCCAGGCAUGCGAUAGUGCUGCUCAAAAUAUGCCUUUUACAUCCAUUGCAAUGCCCACUGUCUUAAUUUAGUUUUAGUAGAUACAGUCAAAGCUGUCCCAGACGCAGAGGAAUUCUUGUCAUUGCUAGAAAAACUGUAUGUGUUCACUUGUGGAUCAUAUGUCCGACCCAAAUGGCUAGCGAUACAAAAAGACAUGUAUGAAGCUGCACCAAGAGAACUACAGCAAAUGAGUGACACACAACGGGCGUGACGAUUUAUAUCGCUGCGAAGCAUUGUGGAUACAUUACCUGCACUUAAGUGAGUGGUGCAAGAGAUAGCUCAAGAUCACAAAGGUGAAAGAUCUAUUGAGGCCCGAGGUCAACUGGCACAGAUAGACUUUGCUUUCAUAGUGCAUCUUGUGAUCCUCUGUAAAGUGUUUGGUGAAACAAAACUGUUGUCUGACAUGCCACAGUCAUCAUCACUUGAUAUUUCAAGAGCUGUUGAUUUAGUUAAUGCUUUGGUUCAGACAUUGAAUGACUUCAGGCAGAAGUCAUUUUUUGAUAACUUGUGGAAUGAAGUGUUGAACAUUCCUGAGCAAUGUGAUUCUGCAGUACAGGCAGCAAUAAAACAUCCAAAAAAGCUAAGCUGUAAACUUGGUGAAUAUUGUGUUCUGACUAGUGUUGGUCAGAGAGAGUCAGAACAAGAUAAAGACAGCCUUUUUAUUACCCUGUCAUUGAUCAGAUGCUCAAUGAGCUCAACAAAUGAUUUUCAAAGACAAGCUGUGACAUUAUGAAUAGCAUCCAAGCUCUAAAUCCCCAAAGUGAUGUAUUUCUGAAUGAGACAACGCUGUUUUCAUUUGCUCGAUUGUAUGAUUCAAAUGUUGAUGACUUGGGGCACGAACUGCAUCAGUUUGGUCGCAUUUUAGAAAGGAAAUUACAGACGGGGUUGCAAAGACCCUCUACUGUAGUGGAUCUGAUACUGUUUAUUGAGCUGUAUCAAGAAGCAUUUUUCAGACUCUGCAAAAAACCAGUUGCAAUCCCAGUGAGUACUGUGUCUUGUGAGCGGGUUAGGGUUAGGGUUAGUUUUUCUACCCUAAAGCUGGUGAAAACUUUCCUUGGGUCAAACAUAACUGAUGGGAGAUAAAGCAAUCUGGGUGUACUAAGUAUUGAGUCUAGGAGGGCAAAGGCUUUGAAUCUUGACCUAUUUUUUGAUCGGUUUGCCAAAAAUCACAUAAACCGCAGAAUACAGCUACUGUAAUAUAGAAUUUUACAAACAUACAGACUGGGAUACAGGGUCCCACUUUUACAGUGGAGCUGGUACUGUUUGAGUCACAUAGUGUUGCAGCUGAAAGUGUACUGUAACUUUAGCAUGAGCUCUAUUUUCAGCAAAGUAGAGUUAUAUUUUUUAAAUAAAAUACUGAAAAAACAUAUUGUAUCUGAAACAAGUGACUGUAACUGAGUUGAUUUAAAUUCUGCAGUAAAAUUUGAAAUACUUGAA